rnacentral:rRNA from 1 species
GAUGAACGCUGGCGGCGUGCCUAAUACAUGCAAGUCGAGCGAACAGACGAGGAGCUUGCUCCUUUGACGUUAGCGGCGGACGGGUGAGUAACACGUAGGUAACCUACCUAUAAGACUGGGAUAACUUCGGGAAACCGGAGCUAAUACCGGAUAAUAUUUCGAACCGCAUGGUUCGAUAGUGAAAGAUGGCUUUGCUAUCACUUAUAGAUGGACCUGCGCCGUAUUAGCUAGUUGGUAAGGUAACGGCUUACCAAGGCAACGAUACGUAGCCGACCUGAGAGGGUGAAGCGACCAACUGUGAACGGAAACCGGGUCCAGCCCCCAAGGGGAGGCAGAGGAGGGGAAUCUUCGGAAAGGGGGGAAGCCCUGAGGGACCAACCCGGGGGGAGUGUGAAGGGUUUUGGAAUCGAAAACCUCUUUUAUAAGGGAAAAAAAAAGGUGAAAGAAAUGGGCCCGGUUUGGAGGGUGCUAACCAAAAAAGCCACGGUAAACUACGU